UGUUCCAUAGUGUUUCCUUCAUAUCCUCUGAAGUAGGCACCUUCCGAGGACAGAAUCCACAGUGGACAAUCACUUACACAUUCACUAAAUGCUUACACAGGCCAAGCUCUGUGCUGGCCACUGGGGAAACAGAAAUGUCCUGCGUCACCAAGCUCCAAGCCCACGCUGGGCCCGUGAUAGGCAAACAAUAAGAACUUAAAUUUACCUGCACAGAUGAAAUGGGCACCAAGCAGACCCCACCAUGCAGGGGUGUGCAGCGUCUACGUGGGCCCCUGGCUUGCUUCAUGCCCUUCCUGGAUGUUUACUUUCACAGGUCUCGAAUUCCUAUUCUAUACCGGCGGGGGGGACAAGGCAAUGGAUAAGAUCCAAUCUUGGCCUUCAAAGAACUUGACAUCUCCCAAGAGAGACAAAAGCUUCCCCUAUCUUCUCUUGGAUGACAUCUUACGGCAACAAGUUAGACAGCUGUCAUCAUCUCCAUUUUGCAGACAGCGAAGCCCAAGGAGUGGGGAGGACACAUACCGAGCCCAUCACCAGGUAUGAUCUGCAUGAAGCUAUUCAUGUAGUGAACCAGUGUGAUGUUCUGCAGAACUCGAGCUGAUUCAGGUCCCUUUGGACUACACUGUGACAGAGAACAAGAGAAUUAGCACAGCCCUGGGGGAAGACAACAAAUCUGUCUCCACCAUGCGAAAAUGAACUGCCUUUGAUCCUCCCUCUGGAUGGGGAAGAAGACAUUCGCUUGAUCAAUAGCCUCAUACAAACGCCAGAAGCUGUUUGACCUGCGCUAGUAAAAUGACCACAUCUGGCACCGAAGCUACAACCACAGUUGCCACCUGGUUAAGUUUAUGCUUAUCCACGGUCAUUCCCUGUGAUCAAUUUGGUUUCAGCAGGACCAGCAUGGUGAGCUGAAUGAGGUUAUGAUGGGAAGCACCAACUCUACAUCCUUUAAGUUUUUAAUGGUGGCACUAAACUCUGCAGAUUGUCCCAGAAUGUGGCAGUAAUUCUUCUGAUUUACUAUCUUAGCCAGCACGGAGCUGGAGGGUAGUUUCCGGGCCUCCCACUUGGCCCAUCCUAGCAUAAUGGCCUCAUUCACAUUUGCGGCCUCUGCCAGCUUCUUGGUGUAGCCGUCCCAACUACGCUCUCAGGAAGGGGAAAUAACCAUGGGGUUGGCCCAUGGAUCGUCCAUAAGACAGACUUGGACCUUUGCCAUGUGGGCUCCAAGAAGCCCCCUAGCUAGCUGGAAGGCCAUGAUGGCAGGUCAGAUCCCUUGCUCUCCAUGUUAGGUCAGCAUCUGUAUCUAACAGUCUUUAGAAAGGUCAGUAUCACCCUUCCUUCCACACAUAGUUACUCUAGAAAGUGGCUGUAGGUCGUUUGGGAAAGGGUUAGGGGAAUAUUUCUCAUCUAGACUGUGGUCCUCCUUCCUCAGAAGGACCCUCUUCCCUUUCUAUCAAUGGACCCGGGGUCUGUCAACUGACUUACAUCUGGAAACAAAGUGAGGAUCUGAUGUCAUCCUUCUGCUCACCAUUUCCUGAUAUUUAAAAAAAAUUAACAAGGCAAGCAGCACCCUCACCGGCUGGCCGUCUUCCUCACACCACGACUGACUGGCAUUGCCGAGCACCCCUGCAGGGCAAGGCACCCUGGUUGCUACUGCUGCCUUGCUGCCCGUGUGCCUCUCAGGCUGAAGUGCCACCACCUGGCCUCUGCUGGUCCGGGAUCCUAACACGCUCAUUGGGAAUUGGGAGCCAAGGUCCACCAGCAGCCCCAGCCUGCUGAGGGCAGCCACUGAGGAACUUCUCCAAGUGCUGGAGCCCCCUCACCCCUGCCCCACUGGGGCAUCCGUUAUUGCCUUGAGUAGGGGGUUGUCUCUGGACACUCAUGGAGAAAAUAGCUGUGUCAGUUUCCUAGGGCCGCCAUGACAAAGCACCACAGGGAGAGGCUUAAAACAACAGCAAUAGAUCACAGUUCUGGAGGCCAGAAGUCUGAAAUCAAGGUGUUGGCAGGGCCAUGCUCCCUCCCAAGGUCCAAAGUGAGGAUCCUUGCUUGCCUCUUCCAGGUCCCUGAAUUGUGGGCACACAACUCCCAUCUCUGCUUUUGUGUCUCUGUGUAUCCUCUCCUCUCUUUGUGGACACCAGUCACACUAGGGCUACCCGAAUGACUUCAUUAGAGCUUGAUUACAUCUAUCAAAGACCCUGUUUCCACAGAAGGUCACAUCCACAGGUGCUGGGAAUGAAGGCUUCAGCAUAUCUUAUGGUGGACACAAUUCAACGUACAAUAAUAGUCAACUGGUAAGGUCCCAGGUCCCAGGUCCCAGGUCCCUGGUAAAAAGCCCAUUCUAAACACUCCACCUUCCCGAGCCUGCCAACCCCUCCUCAAUGCUAUGCUGAGGAAGUUCUGGCAUUUCUACUCAUUUGCUGUAGACCAUUGUCAUGGCCAAGCCCUAAGAAGCCAUCCUAUCACACUGUUUGGACCAGCUCUGGGUCCUAACACUUGACCCUGAGUCCAGGGUGAGUUUCCCGUGUCAGUAAAUUCUCCCCGUGGGGCCUUCCCUCCCCCUUCUUCAACCUGACACCCUCGAGCCCACGAGUCCUGGGUUCCUCUAGUCCUGGCAGCUCCUACUGGUCAGGGCUGCUGUUCCUUCUUCACAUAAGCUAUUUCCUUCUGAAACAGGACGGUACUUUCCAGCUCAAGCUGUAUUGAGAUUUGACCCUGGUCAUUGGCCUGGAAGCAAUAAAUGGUAGCGGAAGGGGCAGAUUUUGAGGAGAACAAGAAUCAUCUCGUGAGGCAUCUGCAUGCUCUCCAGGCUCGGGGAGGCUUCUCUCUGUCAAGGGGAAGGCGACUGUGUCCACCAGCCUGAUGGGUUCCGGGCCCUGGAGAUUUCAGAUUUUCCGUCUCACCCACAUAUCCAUUCCCAUCCCUGGUUUCAGGGCCCCACUUGAGUUAGCAAGAACCUAACUUUCUUUUUUUUUCAAGCCUUUCAAAAUGCAGCAGACGAAAAGUCUCCUGCUCCACAAUCAUCAUUAUCACCAUUGCUCCCAUGCUGUUCAGACACCAUGGCCGCUUUGUACUGCAGUGUCUCAUCUUCCACCUGCACCUCUGCCCAGGGUUCCACAGGAGAGCACUUCCAACACUGUGAUGCCAAGGUUAUUACCACCCAUCUGAUCCCCAGUGAUGGGCUUCUUUAUGCCAGAACCCCAUGUCUGUCUGUUGGCAGGAGCGUGGAAGGUACCCGGCGCAGGAGGGCUGAACCUGAGAAGGAUGAACACCCAGGUCAUGAAACGAGGACCACAGCCAGUGGAGGUCAACCCGGGCCUGGUGGUUCUACCCCCGCCCCCCCCACCCCGGGUCCUUCUUGGCAGGGACCCUGUGUCUGCAAGAUGAGCGACCACGUCCUGUUCUCUGUGCCUUCCCCAGCAGUUAGCACAGAGAUGGCCACGGAAGGGCCCUGCGUGGAAGGACUGAAGGAGAGAGCGAGUGCAUACAAGGGAGUACCUGGCCCCUCUGCACAGCCGGUCUCCCUGCAAACUCGCCUCACCCAGCCUCUGCCAUCUCCAGCCUCUGGCUCUUCCUCCAUCAUUGGAGGUCCCCGUCCUCUGCUCUGACUCCCUCAGCUACAGCCCAUCUUUCUGGUCUCUGGAAGUGGAAGGUCCUGGCUCUGACCUCAAGCUCACCUCCUCUCUGGCUUUUGGGUGAAAUGGCUCUGUUUCAGGCCCAGGGAGCCCAGCCUCCCUGGCCUUUUCCUCAGUGGAAAGUUGUGUCUCAACCUCCCUCAGGAG